rnacentral:lncRNA from 1 species
AGCAAAUGUCCCACUCCCACAUCAUUAUUCAUUCUUUAACCAUUUUUCUUAAUCAUCAGUCUCUUUUACUUUCUUCUCUUCCUCUUCACUGGUCUUGGCAUGAUAACCUGGAAGCUUCUCUUUAAUCUUUUCCAGAAUGCCCUUCUUCUCCUCCGGAUGUUCCACCGGAUGCUCCGUCGUAGGCUCCACUGGAUGCUCCGUUACAACCAACGGUGUGCUGGUAACAGCUGGUGAAUCCUCUGGAGUCUUGUCGUGGUGGCCAGGAAGCUUCUCCUUGAUCUUCUCCCCUAGUCCUUUCUUCUCUUCCUCGGUUUGGUCAUGCUCCACCACACUCUCCGACACUGGUACCGGGAUGGUAGUGGAAACUGGUACAUCAUCCUCUGGUUUCUUGUCGUGGUGGCCUGGAAGCUUCUCCUUGAUCUUCUCCGCUAGUCCUUGCUUCUCUUCCUCUCCUUCAACGAUCUUCUUCUUCUCCUUCUUCUCCUCCCCUUCUUCAUCGCUCGACUGUUAGAUAUUCAAAUUUCAAGAACCAUGAGUAUGAUUAUUGGUACAAUCAAGAUCUACAAAACUAAUCUAAAUCUUGUAUAUAAGUAUCUCUUAUCAACCAUUUCGAUCAAAUCAAAUUUCAUAAAUUUUUACUUACAGAGGAAGCAGAGCUGUUGGAUCGGUGAAGCUUUUCGAUGACACUAGGCUUGUUCUCCUCAUCUUCCUCGGUCUUCUCUUGAAGCUCUUCAAGGAGAGUAAUCUUGUUCUCCUUCACUUCCUCGUGCUCCGCAGCUAACUCCGGUUCCGAGAUCUGAGCCUUAUGAUCAAACUCAGACUCGAGCGUCGUUGUCUCUUGAGGUUUCACUUCCUCUUCCUUCUUCCCCAAGAAAUCAAACAAUCCACGAUCCGUAACCUCUGUAGUCGUCGCUGGUGAUUCCUCUGUUGCGACCUUUGGUGUCUCGUGCUCGGGAACGUUGUUCUUGUACUCCUCAGCCAUAGUUAAUCUUGAUUCGAUUGAAAGGUUAACAGUAAACAGAAUAAUAUGUGAGAUUUGUGUAGUUGCUUUUAGAUUGUUUUGUGAAUGAGUAAUGUUUAUGAUGAGAGAAGAGAGAGCGGGGGUUUUUAUAGUGUCAAGAGACUCAAGACUCAAGAGAAGGGUCCAGGCCAACGCGGAGGUAACGCUGUAAAGAUUUUUUUUUUUUUUUUUUUUUUGUCAAAACGCUGUAAAGAUUUAGUUAAUUUAUUUAGUAAUCCAAAAGAUGGAUAUUUAUUUCUGGAAUUGCAUAAUGACCCCUUUUUCUUUAAGUCGGUAGAUGAAUAUCAUGAUAUCACCACCUUAUUUUUUCUUAAUUUAAGGAUUUAUGUUUUAAUAUGUAGAUGAAGAGUUAAACUAAUAUUAGAUAAUCGCAUAGUCAUGUACUUUUAUCUACAGGAGCUGUAUCAAACUAUAGUCUAUGGUUACGUGGUUGAAGUCCAUCCUUUUAUUCUAUUAUUUUAUUGCAUUUUAUCAAAUUAAAUAGAUAACAGAUGUAUAAGUAAAGAGUUUCAAUGGACUAGGAGUAUAAUGUAGUGGUUUGGAAUUUGAAUUUGAUGUUAUGUCACCAUCAUAUUAUUUCAAGCUUUUUGUAAGAAGAAAAAACAAAACACUAAAUAAUUUGUCUGGAAAUAGAACUUAACAAUUUUUAACAUUUUUUCUUGUUUUUUAUUUUAAAUUGUUUUGACCUUUUACUUUACUAAAAAAAAAUAUGAAAGAAAGUUCAAACUUCAAAAGGGGUGUUUCCAACUCUUUUAAGACUUUCAGGUUAUGUCUCUAAAAUUUAUAAAUAAAGGGGUAAAGUAAAAUAAAUAGGAAGUAAUUAUAACCGAAAUAUGAACAGCAUUAACCAGCCAAAAGAUCAGUAUAAAUGGAAAAAGAUCAGUAUAAAUGGAAAGACUAAUGUAAACAUUAGAAUAAUUUAGAAGUUAGAACGAAUUAGAAGAAAAACAGAAUAAUGUAGAAGGCAUAGAUGGAGCCAAUAUACUACUAACACGUGUCAAAAGAGGUGUAAGGGCCCCACACAUGGAACUGAAUGGUCGGCUUUGAUAGGCUUUAAGCAUAGUUGUCGGUCAUGUGGGCCAUUAGACACGUCGGCUAUAGCUAGAUUGCAGAUAUUUUGCGGGUAAAUUACAAACAUGGCAUUAUUACUCCUCUAAUAAAUUGCCUUUUUAAGAACUAAGACGUUAAUUUGUUCAAAAAAAAAAAAAAAAAAAAAGAACUAAGACGUUAACAAAAAAAAAUUAUGCAUCAAAGUAGAUUUUAAUUUUGAAAUAAAUUUGUCAGAAGAUAAACAACGGUAUUGAAAUAAUUAUAUUAUAAGUAUGAAAUUUUAGGUAUGUGAUGUCGUUUUUUGGCUUGUAUGAUAACGGACGAAAGCUUUAUCGUUAUAUUUAAAUAAGAUUUAACAGAUGGGGCAUUUGAGAACGCACAAUUUCGGAUUUUGCUUAAAGUUAUUAAAUUAUAUGAAUCGUGUUCGGUUGAAAGAUUUAAGACGUUGUGCCACUUGAUAAAUUGAGACGUUUCAUGAACACGCGACCCGUAAUUAACAGACCGAAUUUUAAAAAACUUAGGCAUUGGGGUGGUCACUCUACCGACACAUAAUACCAAACAAAGCAAUCGUUUUCGUUUGCUAUAUUGAUUUUAAUUAAUUUAUCGCGUUAAACUUUUACAAACUACAAUAUAAACAAAUUUGUGUAACCACAUGUAAAUUUACCUGACCUAAAAAAAAAACGAAAAAAAAUCUAACCGCAUUUCUCAAAGAAUCAUAUAGAAAAUGAAUUGAUCUUAUAGAGAUGUACUAUUUGAUUAGAAACAAAUGUUGAACCGAAUCUAAACCAUUAUCAAACCGGCUUUUAUAUAUUUUAAACUGGAAAUCUUAAAAAUUGAACCAUAGCCAUAUCAAAUACCUCGGCACUAAAAUAUGAUAUGCUGUGCCGAAAAUUUAGCAAUUAGGCUAUCAAAACGGAUCAAGGUCUACGACUUUCAAUUAACAAUCAAGCACAUGAUGCGGGUACGGCCCGAUUAUAAAGUCUAUGCACGGGUUCUAUAUAUACGUCAUGUAUACAAAAAAUAAGAUGGUGAGACAAUGAUGAUAUGUGUCUAGGCUACAUAUGUCUUGGUCAAAUAUAAGUCUAUUAUAAACUGAAAUUUUAAAAACUCUUUCUUUUACGAAUUGACAAGUCUAUUGCCUAGUUCACUCACUACUAAUAUUAAGAAGUAAUUAGUAUAUUCAUUUUUUUUUCGUCGUCUAAAUUUAUUACUAAUUGCAAAAUUAUGAGAACUAUUACAUAGACGAUUUUACAACUGAUAAUUCUUUCCGAUUUUUACUAGAUUCACGACAGACUACACUUCCUUCUUCGUGAUCUUGAUGAAUACCAACAUGAUCCACAACCUGGCGACACUUCCUUCUCUGCGUAGAAUCCUGGCGAACGGCUAUAAUUGUACAUCGUUGGAGAUCUCUUGCACAUUUGCCUCCAUUAAUAUGCAAAUUUGUUAAUAAAUCGCAAUAUCUGGGACUCGAACCCCAGACCUCUUGGUGUAGAAGCAUUAAUCAAUCCUUGGUCAACCAAUGGGCCAAGGGGCUUCCACAAUUAGUAUAUUCAUUUAUGUACAAAAAUACUAAUAAUUAAAUCCAUAAAUGUGAUCUUGAACUGGUCUAUUAUUAUGAAUGUAGCUAUAAUUUCCAUAUAUAUCAAAUGUUAAAUACUUUUUUUUUGGAAAAACUAAAAUUUUAAAUACUAACUAUAUUAAAUUUAGCAUGUCAUUUGGUUCAACGAAAUCCAUAAAGAAAAGUUGGUACAUCUUACAGUUCUCAUGAACAACAAUAGUUCCAGGUGAAAUUAUUGAGUCACCAUAUAUUUAUUUAACGCUAGCAUGCUUUCAUCUGAAAUUCUGAUUUUCUUUACAUAAACACUAUUCAUGAGAAAUCAUCCAUUUAAGCUCCAUUGAGUAUACGAUUGUUUCCAAUAGAUAAAUAGUUUUAUAUAAUAAACACAAAUGAUCUAUCACUAAACACAAACUUGGAUAACACAGCUUGAAAUACAAAAGAAAAGAGAUAAUGAUCAACAUUAAAAAAAAAAAACACAACAAAUGUUCCACUCCCACAUCAUUAUUAUUCAUUCUUUCAUCUUUUUCUCUUAAAGAGACUCUUUAUCUUUCUUCUCUUCCUCUCCACUAGUCUUGGCAUGAUAACCUGGAAGCUUCUCUUUGAUCUUAUCCAUAAACCCCUUCUUCUCCUCCGGAUGCUCCGCGAUCGGUGUUGCUGUUUCAACCAGCGGUGCGGUGUUGACGACCUGUGACUCCUCUGGUUUCUUGCUGUGGCCUGGAAGCUUCUCUUUGAUCUUAUCCAUUAAUCCUUUCUUCUCUUCUUCCUCUGGUUUUUUAUCGUCUACCAAAUGUGGUGCUGGCAUGGUGGUGACGACUGGUACAUCAUGACCCUCUGGUUUCUCGCCGUAUGGAAACUUCUCCUUGAUCUUGUCCAUUACUCCUUGGUUCUCCUCUUCCUCUGUUUUCACAUCACCUUCAACGAUCUUUUUCUUCUCCUUCUUCUUCUUUCUCUUCUCACCGUCUUCACCUUCUUCAUCACUUGACUGUUGAAUAUUCAGAAUUUCAAAACCAUGAGUUUGUUUCAAGAUUUAACCAAAAAAACUAUAAACGAAUCAAACUUUUACUUACAGAGGAAGAAGAGCUGUUGGAACGGUGGAGUUUGUCGAGGAGACCAUGCUUGUUUUCUUCUUCCUCCUCGUGUUUCUGGUGAAGCUUCUCAAGGAGAGUAGGCUUAUGUUCCUUCAGUUCCUCGUCUUCGUGCUUGGCCACAGACGGCUCUGGUUCAGAGAUCUGAGUCUUGUGCUCGAACUCAGAUGCGAGAGUUGUCGUUUCUUGAG